ACGCGCGCCCGCACGCCCGCACGCCGCCGCCGUUCGCGCCAGAGUCCGCGCCAGCUCCGGGCGGACGCCGGACGCCCUCUCCAUCGAUUCCGCGCCAGCUCCGGGCGGACGCCGGACGUCCUCGCCAUCACCGUCGCCGCCUCCAUGCCGACUCCGCCAUCGCCGAGUCUUCACACGGACGGCGCAACCCUCUGACUCCAGCGUCCAGGGCAAGAACGGGUCGAUUGCCGGACGCCCUCGCCAUCGAGGCCGUGCCAGCUCCGGGCGGACGCCGGACGCCCUCGCCAUCACCGUCGCCGUCGCGUUCGUCCGUCCCCUAUCGACUCAUCGAUCUGCCACCGCCUGCCAGGCGCCAUGCCCCCCACACAGACGAGCAUCUCCAGGAGUCCAGGCCGCGUGACUUCACCUCAAUUCUAUAGAUUGACUUCAGAUCGACGCGUGCUCAUGGAUGAAUUGUUGGUGAUUCCCCUGCCGGCUCAAGGUACUCUUCAAUUUCCUCAUCUUCUUCUAUUCCCGCGGUUAAUUUCUGUCCAUGGUCAAUUAGGAUUUUUGUUGUUAAUUUCUGUCCAAUAGCAAAUUCCUACGGUUGCUGACGAGCGCCCGCAACCUUGAUAUAUAUACAGUAUGAAGAUCAUGCAAGGUAGAUUCGAUCCCAUUGCUUUGCAAACUGAACCAGCUUUUGCUUAGUUUUCUGAAAUCUUAUUGUUACAUUCUCUCUACUUAACCUGUGUUUACUGAACUCCAUGCUUAGGUCCUUGCAGUAGGCGGGUUCUUGAUGUGGGUCGUCAGUGGCGCAGUGGUGGUUCCUUUGAUGGUUAACUUCGAGAUUGACCUGUCGUCCUACUGGAAAGAUCAUUGAGCUCAGUAGAGUUGAGAUGCACAAGCGCGGAGCUGCAGUAGGAACAACACCAUGUCUACGCUCACUGCCCCUAGCCUGUUCGAUGUUUUGACUGCUUAUCAAAUGGUGGACAACUGGACAUGCUAAUGUAUCAUUGAAAGUCUUUCAUUCACAUAGUUUGAUUGUAGAUUUUAUUGCAGAAUAUAUUCGGAAUCGAAGAACAACUCACUUUUUGCUAAAAUGCUGAUUUUGUCUGACUAUAUCAUGAUUGUAGUCAAGACUGCUAAUCCACCUUAUUAGGAAUUUCUCAGCGAGGAAGGAGCACAAGCCAGCAUUACUGUUUUUUUUCGCGGAACAUAAUAUUAAGAGAGUGCAAUAGUUUCCCCCCUUUUAUCACUUUCUCUAGAAGGUAUACUGUGAAAUAUAUGACAUUUGCAUGUUGGGGACGCCAUUGGAGAUGGAUGAGGUGGUGGGAACACAGGACUACAGGAACAUGGUAGGGCGGAGCUCUGAUGGAUAUGCAAAUGGAGCGUCCCGCAUUAAUAUAUGACAUUUUCGGUCUGUGUUUAGGAAUUUAGACUUAUGGAAUCGAUAUUCAAAUCAUUGUAUGGCAUGGAUAUAUAUAUAACUGAAAAAAUAUAUCUUAUGUACCAUAUUUUUUGUUUAACUUUCCAAUUAUUGCUUUGAAAAUUUGUUGCUUCCUGUGGCAACGUAUGUGCAUAGAACUAUUUGAUGAAAAAUAUAAAUGUAUAUGGAGUUGGCUAUAUUUGCUAUAUUUUCAACUGAGCUUUACAUAUUUCUCCA